UGAAAGCCAUGAAUCUUCACCCAUGAUAGCUCAUUUCUGAGAUCAUUUGAAAAAACUAUGCCAUGAAUGCAGUCAGGAACAAGCUCUUGUUCCUGUAACUGUCUGUCCUGGUGUUAAGGAAAUCGCAUGGUUGGUAUGAAUUGUACAAGUAGGAUAACGAAUUUCAUUUUCUCUUUCCCCUUAACUGUGUAAGUAACUGAACCAGGAUUAAGCAAACCACUAGCUUUGCCCCUGUUUCUGUGACCUUACCAUACCUGUAUGUCUAUUGCGUUAAUUCUUGUCUUGGAUUAUUGAUUAGCAGCAGGCGUUUCAGAUGUAGUGGGGUUGUGUCGUGGGUACCUGGGUAACUAAAAUUGCUUCUGUUCUGUAACUGUAUGCUUCUAGGAAUGUCACAUUGCAACAUGCAGACUAUGGGUCUAGAUCUGGCAGUUGAAAGUGCUUAAUCUUUCUAUAAGUUUCAACUGAAGCUAUUUGUAUACAAUAAUUUACCAAAUAAGCAAACUUAUGUGAAUAUACUACACUUGAUGUUGAUCAUCUGGUGCAUUAGUAUGCAGUUCUCAUUGUCAGUUCUUGUUUUCUUGAUUCAUUUAUACUAUAUGAUUCAGGUUUUAUACUUUGCCAAUAGGUAGCUCAUACUGCCCGCUUCCUUCUGCUUUGAAUAUUGUGGUCUGCAUGCUUUAGUCACUGUGCCCUUAGUUCUUUUUUGUAGGGAGCUAUGCUUAUCAUCAGAAACUCUUGGUGAUAAUGUUAUUCCUCUUUUGGUUCAUGUGUUGCAAUUAUAUACCACAUAAUUCUGCACCAUGUGGUGCACUUAAGUAUCUUAGUGACUUCAUUUGAUGUGUGUAUUUCUGUUAAUUUUAAGCUUCUGUUGCUGUGAAAAUGUACCUCACUGACCAUUUGUCUAUUUAUUGUGUACUUCUUGCAUGAGGAGGUGACUAGUGAUGCGGCGCGCCAAGCAGCAGUAGGGGAAGGGGGUCUCCUGAUCAAGGAGGCGGAGGAGUAGGGGCGUGCCCAGCCGGCAGCCCUGUCCUGCUCGUGGGGGAGGGGCAGGAGGGGUCUGCUCCUCUGCUUCCAUUGCGACCGCGGCAGAUGCCUUGGUUCAGCCUCUACAAACAUACCCGAAAAUGGUGUUUCCUCUCAUUUACAAGAGCUCCAGCAAAGUGAACUAGGAAGUAUAUUUGAAGUUCAAAGCCGUGUAGCAAAGAGUUAUAUGUUCUGUCUUAUGUGUAAUAGACUGGAAAGAUUUGAAUAAUAUUGUAAUAGACUAUGUACAGAUUGUAGUUGACUUAUUUAUCCUUCUUUGACGAACUACAUUUGUUAUGUUCUGUUUGAAAUAUUCA